AUUGAACGCUGGCGGCAGGCCUAACACAUGCAAGUCGAACGGUAACAGGAAGAAGCUUGCUUCUUUGCUGACGAGUGGCGGACGGGUGAGUAAUGUCUGGGAAACUGCCUGAUGGAGGGGGAUAACUACUGGAAACGGUAGCUAAUACCGCAUAACGUCGCAAGACCAAAGAGGGGGACCUUCGGGCCUCUUGCCAUCGGAUGUGCCCAGAUGGGAUUAGCUAGUAGGUGGGGUAACGGCUCACCUAGGCGACGAUCCCUAGCUGGUCUGAGAGGAUGACCAGCCACACUGGAACUGAGACACGGUCCAGACUCCUACGGGAGGCAGCAGUGGGGAAUAUUGCCCAAUGGGCGCAAGCCUGAUGCAGCCAUGCCGCGUGUAUGAAGAAGGCCUUCGGGUUGUAAAGUACUUUCAGCGGGGAGGAAGGGAGUAAAGUUAAUACCUUUGCUCAUUGACGUUACCCGCAGAAGAAGCACCGGCUAACUCCGUG
rnacentral:rRNA from 1 species